UACGAAGGGGACUAGCGUUGCUCGGAAUUACUGGGCGUAAAGGGCGCGUAGGCGGCACUGUUAGUCAGGCGUGAAAGUCCUGGGCUCAACCUGGGAACUGCGCUUGAUACGGCAGAGCUAGAGGAUGGAAGAGGCUCGCGGAAUUCCCAGUGUAGAGGUGAAAUUCGUAGAUAUUGGGAAGAACACCGGUGGCGAAGGCGGCGAGCUGGUCCAUUACUGACGCUGAGGCGCGACAGCGUGGGGAGCAAACAGG
rnacentral:rRNA from 1 species